rnacentral:rRNA from 1 species
UUGACUAGCUGAGAGGAGGCGCAUGGCCGUCGUCAGUUCGUACUGUGAAGCAUCCUGUUAAGUCAGGCAACGAGCGAGACCCACGCCAACAGUUGCCAGCAUGGUCCUCCGGGAUGAUGGGGACACUGUUGGGACCGCCUCUGCUAAAGAGGAGGAAGGAAUGGGCAACGGUAGGUCAGCAUGCCCCGAAUUAUCCGGGCUACACGCGGGCUACAAUGGUCAGGACAAUGGGUAUCGACACCGAGAGGUGGAGGCAAUCUCCUAAACCUGUCCUUAGUUCGGAUUGUGGGCUGCAACUCGCCCACAUGAAGCUGGAAUCCGUAGUAAUCGCGUUUCAAAAUAGCGCGGUGAAUAUGUCCCUGCUCCUU